UACGAAGGGUGCAAACGUUGCUCGGAAUUAUUGGGCGUAAAGCGCACGUAGGCGGCCUACUAAGUCGGACGUGAAAUCCCUCGGCUUAACCGGGGAACUGCGUCUGAUACUGGAUGGCUUGAGUUUGGGAGAGGGAUGCGGAAUUCCAGGUGUAGCGGUGAAAUGCGUAGAUAUCUGGAGGAACACCGGUGGCGAAGGCGGCAUCCUGGACCAACACUGACGCUGAGGAGCGAAAGCCAGGGGAGCAAACGGG
rnacentral:rRNA from 1 species